UACGAAGGGGGCUAGCGUUGCUCGGAAUUACUGGGCGUAAAGGGCGCGUAGGCGGAUAUUUAAGUCGGGGGUGAAAGCCCAGGGCUCAACCCUGGAAUUGUCUUCGAUACUGGAUAUCUUGAGUUCGGGAGAGGUGAGUGGAAUGCCGAGUGUAGAGGUGAAAUUCGUAGAUAUUCGGCGGAACACCAGUGGCGAAGGCGACUCACUGGCCCGAUACUGACGCUGAGGCGCGAAAGCGUGGGGAGCAAACAGG
rnacentral:rRNA from 1 species